rnacentral:rRNA from 1 species
UGAACGCUGGCGGCAGGCCUAACACAUGCAAGUCGAGCGGAAACGAGAAGUAGCUUGCUACUUCGGCGUCGAGCGGCGGACGGGUGAGUAAUGCCUAGGAAGUUGCCCAGUAGAGGGGGAUAACCAUUGGAAACGAUGGCUAAUACCGCAUAAUCUCUUUGGAGCAAAGCAGGGGACCUUCGGGCCUUGUGCUAUUGGAUACGCCUAGGUGGGAUUAGCUAGUUGGUGAGGUAAUGGCUCACCAAGGCGACGAUCCCUAGCUGGUCUGAGAGGAUGAUCAGCCACACUGGAACUGAGACACGGUCCAGACUCCUACGGGAGGCAGCAGUGGGGAAUAUUGCACAAUGGGCGAAAGCCUGAUGCAGCCAUGCCGCGUGUAUGAAGAAGGCCUUCGGGUUGUAAAGUACUUUCAGUCGUGAGGAAGGGGGUAAGCUUAAUACGCUUAUCUCUUGACGUUAGCGACAGAAGAAGCACCGGCUAACUCC